UCGAGCGAGAAGCCCCUCGGGGUGAGUACAGCGGCGGACGGGUGAGUAACGCGUAGGAAUCUACCUAGUAGUGGGGGACAACUCGUGGAAACGCGAGCUAAUACCGCAUGCGCCCUACGGGGGAAAGCGGGGGAUCUUCGGACCUCGUGCUAUUAGAUGAGCCUGCGUAAGAUUAGCUAGUUGGUGGGGUAAUGGCCUACCCAGGCGACGAUCUUUAGCUGGUCUGAGAGGAUGAUCAGCCACACCGGGACUGAGACACGGCCCGGACUCCAACGGGAGGCAGCAGUCGGGAAUAUUGCGCAAUGGGCGAAAGCCUGACGCAGCCAUGCCGCGUGUGUGAAGAAGGCCCUAGGGUUGUAAAGCACUUUCAAUUGGGAGGAAAAGCUAAUGGUUAAUAGCCAUUAGCCCUGACGUUACCUUUAGAAGAAGCACCGGCUAACUCCGUGCCAGCAGCCGCGGUAAUACGGAGGGUGCAAGCGUUAAUCGGAAUUACUGGGCGUAAAGCGCGCGUAGGCGGUUUUUUAAGUCGGAUGUGAAAGCCCCGGGCUCAACCUGGGAAUUGCAUCCGAUACUGGAUGACUAGAAUGCGGGAGAGGGAGGUAGAAUCCCAUGUGUAGCAGUGAAAUGCGUAGAUAUAUGGAGGAAUACCAGUGGCGAAGGCGGCCUCCUGGCUCGACAUUGACGCUGAGGUGCGAAAGCGUGGGGAGCAAACGGGAUUAGAUACCCCGGUAGUCCACGCCGUAAACGAUGUCUACUAGCUGUAGGGGUACUUGAGACCUUUGUAGCGC
rnacentral:rRNA from 1 species